GGCCAAAGCCCUAAUCUCCUUGGGACAUUUAAAACUUGAGUGGAUACAGCACUGUGGAGUGAAAUGUAGCAGAGAAUUUUGCAUUGGCACUUGAGAGACUGAGUAUUCAUGCUGGCCUCCCCACCUCCAUGAUGCUAUGGUUCUGCAAAUGGGAAUCUGAAGAGAGAAAUGUUAUGCAACUGAAAGAGAACGAAACACAGCUGCCUAUAAACAAGCAAGAAGGGGCAAGUAAUAGACUCAGGAAUGUGUGCUGUUGACCAGUAAUUAUACUCCUAUACUAUUAGAUUAGCAUGAGAAACUUGGCUGAGAUACAGGACUGUUCUAAAAGCUUUAUAAACAGAAGCUCCAUCCACUCCAACUCUGGCUCUGAAUCACUGGGGCAACUGAGCUGGUCCCUCUGAGGGAUGAAGAGAGAGCAGGAGACCAGAGGUAUCUGGACUGGAGUCAGGAGCAAAAGACUUAGGAUCCUUCGCUGGAUCUGAUCUAUGAGCUGUCUGCUGGACACCCU